CUUGAAGGUGUCAUUACCCCCCCAAAAAGGAGCACCUGAGAAUCCCUGAAGCCACUAACAGAAAAUGUUACGCGGAGGGACAGAGCCAGAAGUUUCAGCAAUAGCAACAGCAGAAGUGAAAGAGGGAACCAGAUUUUGACCGGUCAGAGAGGUGAAGCAUCACCACUGUACAAAUAAGAUCCUCCAGAUUUUUCAACAGAAGGGAAGGAACAGUUGUAUGGCAGCAGACUGAAGAGAUAUUUUGAAGAGUUUGAACCAGGUCUAAAGCUGAGGAUCUGAUCCCAUCUUAACACAAAGGAUGUAGCAAGGAGAAAUCAAACUUAAGAAGUUGAGGAUUUGAAAAAAGGACAGCACUCAUGUUUUGAUUUCCUGGAUUAACGGCUCUGGAUGGAGUCCAGUGAAGAUUUAGACAGUAGCCAGGAGCCAUCCUUCCAGCCCCACAGAGUGCAGACCUGGGAGAAAGGAAGAAGUGGUCCUCAUCCUAAAGAAUUUAAACUCUCAGAAAAGUGGUGAUGAAAUAGAAGUCAUGCUAAUUUCAAGUGUUAAUGAAGCAGAAUCCAUCCUGAUGUGAAGCUACCUGAGGAUGCUCUGUGACACAGCCACAAUGGGACCAGACUUUAUGGUCUAUUGUGUUAAUAAGCUCUGAAUUAAAGCCUCCCCCAGCAUGCUCUUAAUGUGAUGGAUUGUAUCAGUGAUGUGCUGUUAAAGGGUCCCCAGUCAAACUGGACACAAGAGGCCAGAGUGGUUCGGAAGGCCUGGCAGCUCCAUCAGAUGGUAGGGCCGUGCCUGGUGCAUGGGAUAAACCUGAUAGGAAAUCACAGGGAGCUUCAGAGGGGGCUGAGGAUGCUCAUCACAUUGCCAGGAAUGAGCCCAAGAGACCAUAACGCUCAGAAUCCUCUUGACGAAGAAAAGCAGAAGUCUCAGCAUUAAAAAUAGAUGCUUUUUAUCUUGCAUAGGAUACAAAAUCUCUUGUGAUAGGACAUUUUUUUUUAGUAUAUUUUAGCAGCUCCAAGCAGUCUUGGAUUAGGCCUGUAUCACAACAGUAAUACACAGGAGGCAAUGUUUUGUCUUGCUAUGACACCAGCUACUAUUGUUUUUGAUCUGCAGCCUCUGAAGAGGGAUGCUGCAUCUUCGACGGAAGGUGUUAUGAGUGCAGAUUAGUUAGACAAGUGCUGGAGUGAAUGCAUAAGCAGUGAUUUUGCAUAAUGAGGUAUGUGAAAUCCCAGUGGAGGUUGUUAAAACAGAUAGACAGCCUGUGGUAAACAACAAGGAAGGUAAGCUUUGAAAACAGAUGGCUUUGAAAACCUGGCAAAUGACUGUUCCAUACUUAAAAAUCGGUUUUGUUGGAGGAAAAUAUCUUCUUAAAAAAAAAAAAAAAAA